rnacentral:rRNA from 1 species
UACGUAGGCAGCGAGCGUUAUUCGGAAUUAUUGGGCGUAAAGGGCGCGUAGGCGGCCUGGCAAGUGGAAGGUGAAAUCCCUCGGCUUAACCGAGGAACUGCCUCCCAAACUGCUUGGCUUGAGACCGGGAGAGGUGAGUGGAAUUCCCAGUGUAGCGGUGAAAUGCGUAGAUAUUGGGAGGAACACCAGUGGCGAAGGCGGCUCACUGGACCGGUACUGACGCUGAUGCGCGAAAGCGUGGGGAGCAAACGGG